rnacentral:rRNA from 1 species
AACGAACGCUGGCGGCAUGCCUAACACAUGCAAGUCGAACGAGAUCUUCGGGUCUAGUGGCGCACGGGUGCGUAACGCGUGGGAAUCUGCCCUUUGGUUCGGAAUAACAGUUGGAAACGACUGCUAAUGCCGGAUGAUGACGAAAGUCCAAAGAUUUAUCGCCAGAGGAUGAGCCCGCGUAGGAUUAGCUAGUUGGUGUGGUAAAGGCGCACCAAGGCGACGAUCCUUAGCUGGUCUGAGAGGAUGAUCAGCCACACUGGGACUGAGACACGGCCCAGACUCCUACGGGAGGCAGCAGUGGGGAAUAUUGGACAAUGGGCGAAAGCCUGAUCCAGCAAUGCCGCGUGAGUGAUGAAGGCCUUAGGGUUGUAAAGCUCCUUUACCCGGGAUGAUAAUGACAGUACCGGGAGAAUAAGCUCCGGCUAACUCCGUGCCAGCAGCCGCCGCAG